GCUUCGGUAGCUCAGUGGUUAGAGCACUCGGCUGUUAACCGAGGGGUCGAAGGUUCAAAUCCUUCUCGAAGCG
rnacentral:tRNA from 1 species